UUUUUUUUUGGUUUUUUUUCUCGUAU
rnacentral:sRNA from 1 species